AAAAAAUGCUUCUUUCCACCGUCUCACAAUUGGUGCUAAGUAUAAUUCUUGAUAACAAUUGAACCGAAUCCAAUCUUAUCAAAGACUGCUCCCCACCUUUUUCUAGGGCUUCCUGGGUUCAAGAUCAUUGUUGGGGUUGUUUUCUUUUUGUUCCUAGAUCCAAAUUGUUGAAAAUUCUCUUCUGGGUCGGUUCUUGAUUCUGAAAAA
rnacentral:misc_RNA from 1 species